AUUGAACGCUGGCGGCAUGCUUUACACAUGCAAGUCGAACGGUAACAGGCCUUCGGGUGCUGACGAGUGGCGAACGGGUGAGUAAUGCAUCGGAACGUACCCAGAGGUGGGGGAUAACGCAGCGAAAGCUGUGCUAAUACCGCAUGUGAUUUGAGGAUGAAAGCGGGGGACCGAGCAGCAAUGUUUGGCCUCGCGCCUUUGGAGCGGCCGAUGUCGGAUUAGCUAGUUGGUGGGGUAAAGGCCUACCAAGGCGACGAUCCGUAGCUGGUCUGAGAGGACGACCAGCCACACUGGGACUGAGACACGGCCCAGACUCCUACGGGAGGCAGCAGUGGGGAAUUUUGGACAAUGGGCGCAAGCCUGAUCCAGCAAUGCCGCGUGCGGGAAGAAGGCCUUCGGGUUGUAAACCGCUUUUGGCAGGAACGAAACGGUGUCCGCUAAUACCGGGCGCUAAUGACGGUACCUGCAGAAUAAGCACCGGCUAACUACGUG
rnacentral:rRNA from 1 species